rnacentral:rRNA from 1 species
AAACUAACAGAUUUACUUCGGUAAUGACGUUAGGAAAGCGAGCGGCGGAUGGGUGAGUAACACGUGGGGAACCUGCCCCAUAGUCUGGGAUACCACUUGGAAACAGGUGCUAAUACCGGAUAAGAAAGCAGAUCGCAUGAUCAGCUUUUAAAAGGCGGCGUAAGCUGUCGCUAUGGGAUGGCCCCGCGGUGCAUUAGCUAGUUGGUAAGGUAAAGGCUUACCAAGGCGAUGAUGCAUAGCCGAGUUGAGAGACUGAUCGGCCACAUUGGGACUGAGACACGGCCCAAACUCCUACGGGAGGCAGCAGUAGGGAAUCUUCCACAAUGGACGCAAGUCUGAUGGAGCAACGCCGCGUGAGUGAGGAAGGUCUUCGGAUCGUAAAGCUCUGUUGCCAGGGAA